rfam:Medicago truncatula strain A17 chromosome 6, whole genome shotgun sequence.
AUACCUUUCUCGACCUUUUGGCUGAGAUCAAGUGUAGUAUCUGUUCUUAUCAGUUUAAUAUCUGAUAUGUGGACCAUCGCCUCACACGAUAUUCAAUUUAUUUUUUGAGGGGGAGAGUCCACUACUAUAGCUUGCUAUUGGGUCUCUCAAGUGUCGUCUUUGCUUUGCACUAUUGCAUUGGCCUGGCGCACCCCAC